rnacentral:rRNA from 1 species
GAUGAACGCUGGCGGCGUGCCUAAUACAUGCAAGUCGAGCGAACGGACGAGAAGCUUGCUUCUCUGAUGUUAGCGGCGGACGGGUAAGUAACACGUGGAUAACCUACCUAUAAGACUGGGAUAACUUCGUGAAACCGGAGCUAAUACCGGAUAAUAUUUUGAACCGCAUGGUUCAAAAGUGAAAGACGGUCUUGCUGUCACUUAUAGAUGGAUCCGCGCUGCAUUAGCUAGUUGGUAAGGUAACGGCUUACCAAGGCAACGAUGCAUAGCCGACCUGAGAGGGUGAUCGGCCACACUGGAACUGAGACACGGUCCAGACUCCUACGGGAGGCAGCAGUAGGGAAUCUUCCGCAAUGGGCGAAAGCCUGACGGAGCAACGCCGCGUGAGUGAUGAAGGUCUUCGGAUCGUAAAACUCUGUUAUUAGGGAAGAACAUAUGUGUAAGUAACUGUGCACAUCUUGACGGUACCUAAUCAGAAAGCCACGGCUAACUACGUG